GUCUGUGAUGCCCUUAGAUGUUCUGGGCUGCACGCGCGCUACAAUGAUGCAUUCAACGAGCAUAGCUGCCUCGAAAGACGGCGGCGAAUCUUAUGAAACUGCAUCGUGACGGGGAUAGAUGAUUGUAAUUAUUCAUCUUCAACGAGGAAUUCCUAGUAAGUGCAAGUCAUCAACUUGCGCUGAUUACGUCCCUGCCCUUU
rnacentral:rRNA from 1 species